GGGUUGGGAGGAUGUGUAUUAUUUCUGAACGUAUGUUAACGCAUAAUUAUGUUCUUUGUCAAAUUAAGUGAUGUGUAGCUGUAUACAUUUAUCAUAUGGCAUAAUCAUGUAGAUUUUACAUGUUGGCAAUAAUUAGAAUGUGAAUUUAAGGGUUCAUGUGCAGUUACUAUUUCACAAUUUAUAUUCAUUUGUGUUUUAUAGAUUUUCUAUAUAGAUAAUGUAAACCUAGGUAGGCCUAUAAAGUGGAAUGUUUUUUCGAGAUAUUUGCAUGGAAUAGAGCCGAUUUACAAGAAGUCAUUGCAUCCGAUGUGCAGAAUGGCGAUGGAAUAGAGAGAUCUUGCCCAUCAGAUAUGGGAAGCCUCAUCCAUUGGAGGCUGAUGAGGUACAAUGGGAAAGGGUAAGAGUUUCCAAAUUGAAGGAGGUUGCCAUCCUAAGAAUUUGUCAUCGCAAAGAAAAUGAUAAUGGAUCUUGUAAGAGGCGAUGAAUAUUUGAUGAAUAUGAUGUAAGAAAUGAUUUAUGCACCGACAGUGGUACUUAAUACCGCUCAGAGAUGCAAUAUUAUUAGUUGCAAAAAAUGCAAUGGAUAAUUUGGCGGAUGGAAAAGUUGCUGAAAAUGAGAGAAGCAGGUGUGAAAGCAAUGUCCGGCUUCGUGUAGUAAACCCAUCAAGCGAAGUUGUUCCUCUUUCAUUUGAAUGCAUGCAAAGUGUAUUCAUGUCCCCUCCCCAAUUAAGAUGUCUAGUUACAUGGUUAUGUAAUUUGUUGAACUAAAUUGUUUAUGUUUACACAUAAGGUUGAUUUUUUUUCCAUCAGUUUAAUUCAAAUUGUAAUUUGUCAUUUCGGCAAUGUUCCUUUUGAUGGGAGAAAACAUAUAAAGUUUUAGACGCAUGAUUCAUAAAUACAACUAGUUUUUAGUGUAUAGUAAGAUAUAUUGUGUAAUGAAGGAGAAGCAAGUAGAUGUCUUAUUUUUAAUUUGCCGAAUUGUCAUUUCAAUUCA